AAGUUAAAGUAACCGCUUGCUCUAUGAUUAUAAUAGAAAAGAGAUAUGCUGCAACGAUGAUGGAAAUGAGUGAUAAACCGUUGAGAUUUUUCUUGUCAUCAACUUCAUUUGUUUCGAAAGGUCUUACGCUACACAUGAACAGCAAAGUGUUUAAAAACGGAAGCAACGAUAACAUCAGAAUGUAUGGAGUGGGUCCAGCGUUGAAAACUGUUUGAUAUACUUGAAGCAGUAUAGCUCCACUAAAGCCAAGAA